ACGCGAGGUCACGGCCGCGGCGGGGCGGGGCUGCUGCGCGUGCGCGCCGGUGGGGAUGGGCGGGGCGGGCGGCGACGUGCGGGGCAGCACGCGGGGGGGCGCCGCCCGGUGACCGUGACGAAAUCACGGAAUGGGAGGGGCUUGGAACGGACCAAAAGGAUCAUCUGGUCCAAGCCUCCCUCUCGCUAGAACAGCUUGUUCAGAGACUCAUCCAACCUGGUUUUGAACACUGCCAGGGCUGAGGAAUCCACCGUCUCCCUGGGCAACCUGUUCUAGUACCUCACCACCCUCACAGUAAAGAAUUUAUUCCUAAUAUCUAACCUCGAUUUCCCCUCUUUCAAUUUGUACCCGCUAUUGCUUGUCCUAAUACUACAGUUCUGACGAAGUGUCCCCCUUCAGCUUCCCUGUAGGCCUCCUUCAGGUACUGGAAGCUGCUAUGAGGUCUCCACACAACCUAUUCUGCAGGAUGAACAGCCCCAACUUUCUCAGCCUGUCUUCACAGGGGGGGUGUUCCAGUCCUCUUAUGAAUUUUGUGGCCCUCCUCUAGACUUGCUCCAGCAGUUCUAUGUCCUUCUUGCAUUGGGGACCCCAGAGCUGGAUGCAGCACUCCAGGUUAAACUCUACAUAUCUCCCACUGCAGGACAUCCCUGUCUGGAUGCCAGAUGCCCACUGAAGCUGCGCUGUCACUUCCUUACUCAGCUGGACAGGGGAGAGAAAAUAGAACAAAAGGCUCAUGAGUUGGGAUAAGGACGAGGAGAGAUCACUCACUAGUUACCAUCAUGGGCAAAACAGGCUUGACUUGGGGAAAUUAGUUUAAUAUAAUACCAAUUAAAUCAGAGUAGGGUAAUGAGAAAUAAAACCAAGUCUUAAAACA